UCUCCGUUGGUGAACCAGCGGAGGGAUCAUUACUGAGACUUAUCUCAUAACCCUUUGUGAACCUUUAUAACCUGUUGCUUCGGCGGCGCGGCCCUCGGGUCGUGCCCGCCGGUAUCAUCAGAAUCUCUGUUCGAACCCGACGAUACUUCUGAGUGUUCUAAGCGAACUGUUAAAACUUUCAACAACGGAUCUCUUGGCUCCAGCAUCGAUGAAGAACGCAGC
rnacentral:misc_RNA from 1 species